GACGUAGGGCGCGAGCGUUGUCCGGAUUUAUUGGGCGUAAAGAGCUCGUAGGCGGCUUGUCGCGUCGGCUGUGAAAUCCCGUGGCUCAACUGCGGGUCUGCAGCCGAUACGGGCAGGCUCGAGUCCGGAAGAGGAGUGUGGAAUUCCUGGUGUAGCGGUGAAAUGCGCAGAUAUCAGGAGGAACACCGGUGGCGAAGGCGGGUCUCUGGGCCGAUACUGACGCUGGAGGAGCGAAAGCGUGGGAGCGAACAGG
rnacentral:rRNA from 1 species